CUGAGUUACACAACUCCAAACCCUUUGUGAACAUUAACUUUUUGUUGCUUCGGCAGGCGGCGCCAGGGGGAGCCUUUGCUGGGUUUUUUCAGUGCCUGCCGAAAGACUAAACUCUUUGCAAUAUGUCUGUUUUCUGAAUAAAAUACAAAAUAGCUAA
rnacentral:misc_RNA from 1 species